AGCCGCGGCAGGGAGGGCUGUGGGCCAGGGGCAGCUGAACUGGAACUAGGCACUGGGGAGGCUAUGGCUGAGGAGGCCGGCCCAGGCUCGCCCUGGGCUGCUUGCUCUGCCCCUGUCCUCAUCAAUAAGGAGCCGGUAGCACCAGCUUCUGUGUGGAGAGCAGGGCCGUCCGCCCCCUUGCACUCAGCCUGAUAAUUACUGGUUCCAGCUCCGACCUGCUGCUAGCCUCACAUGUGUAACUGGUUAAGAUGAGGUCAUUUUGACUUGGGGUGAGCACCACUCUAUAUGACUGGCGUCUUUACAAGAAGAGGAGAUGACACAGACUGGGAGGUGGAGUCAGAGGCUGGCGUGAUGCGUCCGUGAGUGGAGAGGAAGGGAGGCUGGCAGAGUCCAGGCAGGCCCUCCCUCUGCAGCCUUCAAGUAAAGCUGGCCUUACCCAGCCUUAGUCUCAUAAUCCGCAUUUCUUUCCAGCUUCUGGGUGUAGAACUGGGAAAUAAAAUACUUCUGCUAUUUAGGCCACCCAGUUUCUGCCCAUUUAUCACGGACAGCCACCCACCAUGCUUCCUCAUAAGCUUCCAGACAAAAUCUAUAACGUGGGGCUGUUUCCUGUGGAACAGGAACCGGGCACCAUGGCUUCCGUACCCAGCCCAACCCAAGAGACCCUGGGAGAUUCCCUUGAGGAGUAUUUUGUGCAAUUUCUUCUUAUUGUGAAAGAACACAUGCAAUGUUUAGUGUGUCACCCAUUCGGGAUGUUUGAAGCCUUGUAUCAUUGCUACAACUUUGUAUCUUUUUUAACCUACCCCCGCAUUAAAGGUCGCAUUCCCUUC